GAGUAUCUUGUUGGAGGUCCCUGCCUACCUGAGGUCUUCCAAAGGAAAGAGCGGCAUAAGCAUUUGGAGAGAUCUGAGCAUUCCCAGCUUCAGCUUUCAAGCUGGAGAUAGGGUAUGACCAGCAACAAACAGCAACGUGCAGACCUGCCAACCUACAAUUUUCUGGUAUUCAGACUGUCAGCAAGAAAAAUGGGAGCAGAGUGUGGGCUGCAGAUUUAUUUGUAAGCAAGUGAAAUGACAGAAUUAAAAGGCAGCAGCUGCUUUGGUGUAAGGAGAUUUAUCACUGAAGACAGAGUGCAUCUCUUUCUGUGAGCUCUGAGGAGACAGCCCCCAAGUAAUACUGGGUGUACUGGCGCAUCACGGACAGAGACAACAGCUCUUAUGUGGACUUUUGUGCUAAUUCCAUAUUUCUGACAUCACGUAAGCAUGGCUUUUGCCAAGUCCCAAACCUCUCAAGACAGAUAAAAGAUACCUGUAGGAAUCCAAAGCUCUGCACCAAGGCUUCUUCAUCAUGUCAGUGAGCAUACGGGCUCUUUCUCUGGCAGUAGUAAAUGCAUGGUUUCACUUCAUAAAGAGGUAUGUCAAAACACUGCAGAAAGAUCUGUGUUGUGACCUAUGCUAUUCAAUCUAUAGAUAUCAAUCAUCUAAAAUGGAGCAAUUAGAAAGGGUGCUAAAAUUUGCUGAUUAUACAAAAAAAUACUGACACGAGUUGCACAAUUUUACAACAAUUAAUUGAGGCAAUAAAAAGACAACUGAAAUCUGAUGCAGAUCAACAGACAAGAAUAAUAGCUAUGAGGAAUGUGAAGUGUUGGUUCUGAAUAAGCUGUCCUCAAUCAGAAAGACGACCUUGGUAUUGCUAUGAAUGGUUCUCUGCCAGCAUCAGCUACACUCAGAAGUUCUCAAGAAGUCAAACAGGAUGUUAGGAAUUAAGAAGAAAGGAACAGAGGAACAUGAACUACAAGUGAUAAACUGUUACACUCACUUCAUAAAGUACUCUGAAUGCAUUUCCCAGUUGUGAUGCCUGCAAGUCUAUGAUAUAUGGUAUUCAUUUUAACAACUUAUGCAGCUAGGAGUCACGUUUAAACAGGAUCUGACCAAUCUACUGCCAGUGUCAUUGUCUGCUACGUACCCCUUUGAACACAGAAAUAAAGAACAAAGCA